UACAGGGGGUGCAAACGUUGCUCGGAAUUAUUGGGCGUAAAGCGCGCGUAGGCGGCUACUUAAGUCGGAUGUGAAAGCCCCUGGCUCAACUGGGGAAGUGCACCCGAAACUGAGUGGCUUGAGUGCGAAAGAGGGUCGCGGAAUUCCCGGUGUAGAGGUGAAAUUCGUAGAUAUCUGGAGGAAUACCGGUGGCGAAGGCGGCAUCCUGGACCGACAUUGACGCUGAGGAGCGAAAGCUAGGGGAGCAAACGGG
rnacentral:rRNA from 1 species